GUAGUCCACGCCCUAAACGAUGUCAACUAGUUGUUGGGAAAUUAACUUUUCUUGGUAACGCAGCUAACGCGUGAAGUUGACCGCCUGGGGAGUACGGUCGCAAGAUUAAAACUCAAAGGAAUUGACGGGGACCCGCACAAGCGGUGGAUGAUGUGGUUCAAUUCGACGCAACGCGAAAAACCUUACCUACCCUUGACAUGUCGCGAAUCUUGCUGAGAGGCGAGAGUGCCCGCAAGGGAGCGCGAACACAGGUGCUGCAUGGCUGUCGUCAGCUCGUGUCGUGAGAUGUAGUGGUUAAGUCCCGCAACGAGCGCAACCCUUGCCAUUAGUUGCUACAUUCAGUUGAGCACUCUAAUGGGACUGCCGGUGACGAAUCGGA
rnacentral:rRNA from 1 species